CUUAACCUAAGGUGUUAAUUGUUUUGUAGGUGCAAAAUUGUCCAAGAUCAAGGAGGAAGAAAUUUGCAUCCACAUCCACUAUCAAUCAUUUUAGUCUUUCUGUGCAAAAUUAUGUUAAAUAAGGACCAAAAUGACAAAUAUACCCUCAAUUUAAUAAACAAUAGGCCAAAAUGAUUUGACAAAAAGUAAAGGUAUUUUGGCUGCGAAUACCGUUAGAUGAAGAACGUGCAAACGGCAAAAUUUUAUAUGAUUCUAAGCAGGUAAAGGAGCUGUAACGCAAUUGCACAAAUACAAGGUUUCAUUUUGUCCUUUCAAUACAAACCAUCUUUAUGUGGAUCGUGGAAAUUCUCAAAUCGUAGGUCAGUUUUCAUCAAGUAUUAUUCAUAUUUAAUUUAAAAUAAAAAUAUUUAAAAUGAU
rnacentral:lncRNA from 1 species